UGAGGUAUAGCUCAGUGGUAGAGUGUGUGCUUAGCAUGCAUGAGGUCUUGGGUUCAAUCCUCAGUACCUCCA
rnacentral:tRNA from 1 species